CUACAUAAACGAGUGAGUGUGAGGGACGUAUGGGCUAUAGGAACACCUGUGACAUAACGGCGGUAUGGAAAGAUAUGAAAGGACACUCAUUCUAAUACCGCACAUGCAAAGCAACCACCACCAGCAGAUCGUGUCUCGUACGUCAACAAGGUUCCUGCUUUUUUUUACUGAAGGACACGAGUGGGAUGGAGUACUCUGUUGGACUGUGCGUGAUUCAUUUAUUAUCACAGAUGAGGAGACAGGCCUGACUUUUGCUAUAGCUGCUUUCCAAUGAAUCCUUAACCAACAAAAUUCUAGACAACAAGUGAGAGGAUGCUGGAGCCUAUCCCCGCAGUCAUUGGGCGGCAGGCAGGGAGACACACUGGACAGGCCGCCAGUCCAUCACAGGGCCGACACAUUCACACUUACGGACAAUUUAGUACGG